CCUACGGGAGGCAGCAGUGGGGAAUAUUGGGCAAUGGGCGCAAGCCUGACCCAGCAACGCCGCGUGAAGGAAGAAGGCUCUCGGGUUGUAAACCUCUUUUCUGAGGGACGAAGAAAGUGACGGUACCCCAGGAAUAAGCCACGGCUAACUACGUGCCAGCAGCCGCGGUAAUACGUAGGUGGCAAGCGUUCGCCGGAUUUAUUGGGUGUAAAGGGCGUGUAGGCGGGAAAGCAAGCCAGAUGUGAAAGCUCAGGGCUCAACCCUGAGCCUGCAUUUGAAACUGUUUUUCUUGAGUGCAGGAGAGGCAAUCGGAAUUCCGGGUGUAGCGGUGAAAUGCGUAGAUAUAAGGAGGAACACCGGUGGCGAAGGCGGAUUGCUGGACAGUAACUGACGCUGAGGCGCGAAAGCGUGGGGAGCAAACAGGAUUAGAUACCCCAGUAGUC
rnacentral:rRNA from 1 species